CCCACUCUUGUACGCCAAUCUUUGGAUAAAAUUGAUUAGUUAGCCAUUCAAAUUCAAAGUGUGUUUGAAUUUGAAUGGAUAACUUAUCUCUUGUGCCUUCAUGACCCUAUCCACUUUAGCGCCCCAUAUCUCACACGAGAAAGAGUUUCUCAUGAAACCUUUCUACACACAAUGCAGCCUCACACCUUCUCUUCUCACGCCCAAGUGGAUAGG
rnacentral:lncRNA from 1 species